rnacentral:rRNA from 1 species
CGUGUAGGCGGUAUCAUAAGUCAGAUGUGAAAGUUCGGGGCUUAACCCCGGAAUUGCAUUUGAAACUGUAAUACUUGAGUACUGGAGAGGUAAGUGGAAUUCCUAGUGUAGCGGUGAAAUGCGUAGAUAUUAGAAGGAACACCAAAGGCGAAGGCAAGUUUCUGGGAGAUAAUUGACGCUGAGGCGCGAAAGUGUGGGGAGCAAACAGGAUUAGAUACCCCAGUA